rnacentral:rRNA from 1 species
GAUGAACGCUGGCGGCGUGCCUAAUACAUGCAAGUCGAGCGAACGGACGAGAAGCUUGCUUCUCUGAUGUUAGCGGCGGACGGGCGAGUAACACGUGGAUAACCUACCUAUAAGACUGGGAGAACUUCGGGAAACCGUAGCUAAUACCGGAGAAUAUUUUGAACCGCAGGGUUCAAAAGUGAAAGACGGUCUUGCUGUCACUUAUAGAUGGAUCCGCGCUGCAUUAGCUAGUUGGUAAGGUAACGGCUUACCAAGGCAACGAUGCAUAGCCGACCUGAGAGGGUGAUCGGCCACACUGGAACUGAGACACGGUCCAGACUCCUACGGGAGGCAGCAGUAGGGAAUCUUCCGCAAUGGGCGCAAGCCUGACGGAGCAACGCCGCGUGAGUGAUGAAGGUCUUCGGAUCGUAAAACUCUGUUAUUAGGGAAGAACAGAUGUGUAAGUAACUGUGCACAUCUUGACGGUACCUAAUCAGAAAGCCACGGCUAACUACGUG